rnacentral:rRNA from 1 species
UGGUGGAGUGAUUCGUCUGGUUAAUUCCGUUAACGAACGAGACCUCGACCUGCUAAAUAGUCGGGCGUACUCUCGGGUACGUGCUAGACUUCUUAGAGGGACUGUCGGUUUUAGCCGAAGGAAGUUCGAGGCAAUAACA